rnacentral:misc_RNA from 1 species
CUGAGUUUAAUACGAAAGUGUUAUCUCCCACCCUAUGUUCAAUAUGACCCGUUGCUUCGGCGAACCGUCGUCAGACCAUCGGCUUUUGCGGAUGAGUGUUCGCCGAAGGUUUUAAACACAUGAAUUAUGUUUGUCUAAGUAAUAAUAAACAAAUAA